rnacentral:rRNA from 1 species
ACAGCAGUAGCCACGGUAAUACGAAGGGUGCAAGCGUUAAUCGGAAUUACUGGGCGUAAAGCGUGCGUAGGCGGUUUGUUAAGUCUGUUGUGAAAUCCCCGGGCUCAACCUGGGAAUGGCAAUGGAUACUGGCAAGCUAGAGUGUGUCAGAGGAUGGUGGAAUUCCCGGUGUAGCGGUGAAAUGCGUAGAGAUCGGGAGGAACAUCAGUGGCGAAGGCGGCCAUCUGGGACAACACUGACGCUGAGGCACGAAAGCGUGGGGAGCAAACAGGAUUAGAGACCCCUGUAGUCCCUGUCUCUUAUAA